rnacentral:rRNA from 1 species
UCAGGCGGUUUUAGCGGCAGGGCUCCACCUCUUCCUAUUCCGAACAGAGUAGUUAAACCUGCCAGCGCCGAUGGUACUGCAUUCGCGGGAGAGUAGGUCGCCGCCGAAU